rnacentral:rRNA from 1 species
GGAGUAUCAAGAGGAGUGUAGCAGUGGAUGGAAGGGGUGGGAAUAGGUAAGUGAUAGAGGGGUGAUGAGAGGUACCGUGUUCGGGUCUCGAGAGAUGGAGGAGCCCGGCGGGGAGGAGAAGCAGGGGUGGCGGCCGCGCUCCUGAGCGUGAGAGGGGUGAGAAGAGUCGGGGAGGAGCAGCUUAGUCAGCGGCUUCACGGGCUCCUAGGCGAGCUCGAGCCGUACCAGCAACCCACGCCCCGCUUCCGGCUGCGUCUCCGCGCCCUGAGCAGAGGUAGUCUAGCCGCCCGCACCUUUAGUACGCAGCGUUGGAGGCGCGGGCCACGGAAGGAGAGGUAGAGCGGGCAGCCGCCGAGCGUGUUGGGAAACGACACGGGACGGGACGGGUCUAUGCCGUCGUCACGGCGCCACCGACCAGGGGAGGUUCACGUUCGGCCGCGGUAAUCUUUUAGGUAAGGGGUGAAGUCGAAAGUAUAGACGAAUAAAGACUAAACUCAAUGAGGGGUAAUGGGUGAAGACGAUUAGGGAUUAACGAUAGGUAAGGACAUAUCAUGUAUACAUCGAGUCAUGAGAUCCAAAUUCGUACUCUCAGUAAAAUCUUAUCCCCUCUUUUUAAUCUUCAACCCCACUAGGAUAAAACCAGACGGAUUAGAACCUCAUUCAACAAGCUAAUCUGAAAGAAUUGAAUCAACGUCGUUGACAAUACUCACCCCUAAGAUCAAUCAAUUAUAAGAAGUCCGUUGGUACGAUGCUAUUUCGACUAACUAACCACCUAAUCUUAAGAUCCACCGAUCCCCCCUAUCCCUGGUUCUGUCUACUCCAACUAAACCGAACUAGGACGGUUUCUUUAAAUGAAGAUAAAACUUUUUACUUGUGUACAAGAAUCUACACGUCCCAAUUCAAAUGUUUACGCUCCAAAUAUCUUUUAGUUUCUCCUAGUUCUCUUCGUAUCAUGCUAUUAUGUUAUCCUAUUCGUACAUACUGACAUCCUAUUAUGUCAAACUUCUUACUACUACCAUACCAAGAGUAUAUCUCCUGCUACCAACCGAGUUUCUCAAAUAGUGGAGUUUUUAAAGGAAAGAACCUUAUUGAACGGAAUAAUCUUCAGGUAUUUGUAGAGACCGUAGAAGUCAUGAUGAAUGCCGUCGACGUGUUCACAAUAAGUACUAUAUCGUGUUGGAAAAUCUAUAUAAAGAACAACAGGGCCUGGGGGACAAUUUUGUCUUCACGAAAACGUCCGAAUGUUCUUUACAUAAAACUUCUGGUAGAUUGAUAGAUUCUCAGUACCUUAAGCAAGGUAGGAUAUAAAAACCCUGAGACCUUAUUUGUGUUUCUACCCUUACCCCUACGUAUGGACGGACGGUAUGUGUAACUGUCCGUUCACGCAACGGACUCCUCAAGCAGCCGCGGAUGUAGCAGCCGGCGCCUUCCCCCGCUACCGGUUUUGACCGACCCGCCGCUGCCGCGUUGUCACCGAACGCCGCGGCUACAGAGUGACGUCACACGCAAACUUGUCGCUGUAGCUUCUUUCUGUGACUCUAAUUGACCCUACCUUGACAAGCGUGGACGCAAGCGCUCUUCGAGAAGCCGCGCCAGCAGCAGGCGACACGUACCGACGCUACCGCGUCCUGUCGGAGACGCCGACGCUGCAUGAAGGCCCACCCGUUCCCGUCCUUCUAGGUAGACUAAGGGGGUAAAACAACAAUCCUGCACUUGUCUUAACCACCUUGGCAAAGUUAGAACACGCUCGCACCCAGGCCGUGUCAAAAGCAGGCGGUUCAAGAGAACAAAUUAUCAUCACAUCUUUUCGAAGCCAAGCACGGAAUUUAUGUGCGGUUUAGUAAUCUACCUAGGGUACCGACUGUCAUGUAUAUAUGAUCGUUACGGGCGCGCCGCUGUGCGACGCGGGACGGCUAUGCAGUACCAACAUUUACAGCAGGAACAAUGUACGAUAUAUAAAAUGAAACUUCUCUUCAUAUACUUAUUCUAACACUAGUAUUUUUUCUUUCCGUACGUGUCUUCGUUUGACUUUUACUAUGUAAAUAGCAGUGAUACGAACCACGUAUAAUUCCUUGUACCUCGUGUAGAACUAUGUAAAGAUGAUUCUGGUUUGUGCCAUUUAGCCGUUGAACUCCUCCUAUAUAAUAAUGAUCAUUCGUACGUGCACGUUGCGUGCAGAGAGUUUAUAUUGUGUACAAAAAUU